rnacentral:tRNA from 1 species
AUCCACGUGGAGAAAUGGUAACUCGUCGACCUCCUAAAUAAGUGAGUCGAAGAUUUGCGGGUUCGAGUCCCGUCGUGGAUG